rnacentral:rRNA from 1 species
GACGAACGCUGGCGGCGUGCUUAACACAUGCAAGUCGAACGGAAAGGCCUCUUUCGGGGGGUACUCGAGUGGCGAACGGGUGAGUAACACGUGAGUAACCUGCCCUUGACUUUGGGAUAACUUCAGGAAACUGGGGCUAAUACCGGAUAGGAGCUCCUGCUGCAUGGUGGGGGUUGGAAAGUUUCGGCGGUUGGGGAUGGACUCGCGGCUUAUCAGCUUGUUGGUGGGGUAGUGGCUUACCAAGGCUUUGACGGGUAGCCGGCCUGAGAGGGACCGGCCACAUUGGGACUGAGAUACGGCCCAGACUCCUACGGGAGGCAGCAGUGGGGAAUAUUGCACAAUGGGUGGAAGCCUGAUGCAGCAACGCCGUGUGCGGGAUGACGGCCUUCGGGUUGUAAACCGCUUUCGCUCAUGACGAAGCUUUGUGUGACGGUAGUGGGUAAAGAAGCACCGGCUAACUACGUG